rnacentral:rRNA from 1 species
UACGGAGGGUGCGAGCGUUGUCCGGAAUCACUGGGCGUAAAGGGCGCGUAGGCGGCGCGGGUAGUCAUCGGUGAAAGUUCAGGGCUCAACUCUGAAUCGGCCGGUGAUACUCCCGUGCUCGAGCACUGUAGAGGCAGGUGGAAUUCCGGGUGUAGCGGUGGAAUGCGUAGAGAUCCGGAAGAACACCGGUGGGGAAGGCGGCCUGGUGGGCAGUAGCUGACGCUGAUGCGCGAUAGCGUGGGGAGCAAUCAGG